rnacentral:rRNA from 1 species
GUAGGUGGCAAGCGUUGUCCGGAUUUAUWGGGUUUAAAGGGUGCGUAGGCGGCUUGAUAAGUCAGUGGUGAAAGCCGAUCGCUUAACGAUCGAACUGCCAUUGAUACUACCAGGCUUGAGUAUAGAUGAGGUAGGCGGAAUUGACAGUGUAGCGGUGAAAUGCAUAGAUAUUGUCAAGAACACCAAUUGCGAAGGCAGCUUACUAAGUUAUAACUGACGCUGAGGCACGAAAGUGCGGGGAUCAAACAGGAUUAGAUACCCUGGUAGUCCGCACCGUAAACGAUGAUCACUCGCUGUGCGCGAUAAACAGUACGCGGCCAARMGRAAGCGAUAAGUGAUCCACCUGGGGAGUACGCCC